rnacentral:rRNA from 1 species
AGAGUUUGAUCCUGGCUCAGAACGAACGCUGGCGGCAUGCCUAACACAUGCAAGUCGAACGCGGGGCUUCGGCCCCGAGUGGCGCACGGGUGAGUAGCGCGUGGGAACCUGCCUUUCAGUGGGGGAUAACCGAGGGAAACUUCGGCUAAUACCGCAUACGCCGGGCAACCGGGAAAGAUUUAUCGCUGAGAGAGGGGCCC